GUCCACGCCCUAAACGAUGAUUACUGGACAUUUGCGAUAUACAGUGAGUGUCUGAGCGAAAGCAUUAAGUAAUCCACCUGGGAAGUACGUCCGCAAGGAUGAAACUCAAAGGAAUUGACGGGGGUCGCACAAGCGGUGGAGUAUGUGGUUUAAUUCGAUGAUACGCGAGGAACCUUACCUGGGCUAGAAUGCGCGUGACCGGUUCUGAAAGGAACUUUCUUAGCAAUAGACACAAAGCAAGGUGCUGCAUGGCUGUCGU
rnacentral:rRNA from 1 species